CUCGUAGGCGGUUUGUCGCGUCUGCUGUGAAAUCCGGAGGCUCAACCUCCGGCCUGCAGUGGGUACGGGCAGACUAGAGUGCGGUAGGGGAGAUUGGAAUUCCUGGUGUAGCGGUGGAAUGCGCAGAUAUCAGGAGGAACACCAAUGGCGAAGGCAGAUCUCUGGGCCGUAACUGACGCUGAGGAGCGAAAGCAUGGGAGCGAACA
rnacentral:rRNA from 1 species